rnacentral:rRNA from 1 species
AACGAACGCUGGCGGCAGGCCUAACACAUGCAAGUCGAGCGAGGACUUCGGUCCUAGUGGCGGACGGGUGAGUAACGCGUGGGAACGUGCCCUUUGCUACGGAAUAGCCCUGGGAAACUGGGAGUAAUACCGUAUGUGCCCUUCGGGGGAAAGAUUUAUCGGCAAAGGAUCGGCCCGCGUUGGAUUAGGUAGUUGGUGGGGUAAUGGCCUACCAAGCCGACGAUCCAUAGCUGGUUUGGGAGGAUGAUCAGCCACACUGGGACUGAGACACGGCCCAGACUCCUACGGGAGGCAGCAGUGGGGAAUCUUAGACAAUGGGGGAAACCCUGAUCUAGCCAUGCCGCGUGAGCGAUGAAGGCCUUAGGGUUGUAAGGCUCUUUCAGUGGGGAAGAUAAUGACGGUACCCACAGAAGAAGCCCCGGCUAACUCCGUGCCAGCCGCCGCCGUAACAC